rnacentral:lncRNA from 1 species
UGUGCAAGUAUGAAAGUAAAGAUGAGCAUGCUGAUAGUCGCCUCUCUAUUCUAUCCAUGAUUGGACUCAAAUCCUCAAUCUUGGGUUUGGUGGUUCCCAUUGGUAAUCCCAAGUAGGUGAAUGGCAUGGUCCCUAUAUGACACCCAAAAGCAGUUGCAAGCCUUUCCAUCUUUUCUUCCGACACAUGAAUUAGAACCAUGAUUGAUUUGCGGAAGUUGACCUUGAGCCCAGUGGAGAUUGCAAAAGUAUC